GAUGAAGAACGUAGCGAAAUGCGAUACUUGGUGUGAAUUGCAGAAUCCCGUGAACCAUCGAGUCUUUGAACGCAAGUUGCGCCCGAAGCCACUAGGCCGAGGGCACGCCUGCCUGGGCGUCACACGCCGUUGCCCCCCCAUCUACUCCUUCGGGAUUGCGGGGGGGCGGAUGAUGGCCUCCUGUGCGCCUAGCCGCGCGGUUGGCAUAAAUACCAAGUCCUCGGCGACGCACGCCACGACAAUCGGUGGUUGCGAAACCUCGGUUGCCCGUCGUGUGCGUUCGUCGCGCAUCGAGGGCUCGAAAAAAUGCUCGGCUCCGGCUGGGCUUUCAACGCGACCCCAGGUCAGGCGGGGUUACCUGCUGAAUUUAAGCAUAUCAAUAAGCGGAGGA
rnacentral:misc_RNA from 1 species